CCUACGGGUGGCAGCAGUGGGGGAUAUUGCACAAUGGGGGGAACCCUGAUGCAGCGACGCCGCGUGGGUGAAGAAGCGCCUCGGCGCGUAAAGCCCUGUCAGCAGGGAAGAAAAUGACGGUACCUGACUAAGAAGCCCCGGCUAACUACGUGCCAGCAGCCGCGGUAAUACGUAGGGGGCAAGCGUUAUCCGGAUUUACUGGGUGUAAAGGGAGCGUAGACGGUGUGGCAAGUCUGAAGUGAAAGCCCGGGGCUCAACCCCGGGACUGCUUUGGAAACUGUCAUGCUGGAGUGCUGGAGAGGUAAGCGGAAUUCCUAGUGUAGCGGUGAAAUGCGUAGAUAUUAGGAGGAACACCAGUGGCGAAGGCGGCUUACUGGACAGUAACUGACGUUGAGGCUCGAAAGCGUGGGGAGCAAACAGGAUUAGAUACCCGUGUAGUC
rnacentral:rRNA from 1 species